rnacentral:rRNA from 1 species
GACGAACGCUGGCGGCGUGCUUAACACAUGCAAGUCGAACGGAAAGGCCCUGCUUUUGUGGGGUGCUCGAGUGGCGAACGGGUGAGUAACACGUGAGUAACCUGCCCUUGACUUUGGGAAAACUUCAGGAAACUGGGGCUAAUCCCGGAUAGGAGCUCCUGCUGCAUGGUGGGGGUUGGAAAGUUUCGGCGGUUGGGGAUGGACUCGCGGCUUAUCAGCUUGUUGGUGGGGUAGUGGCUUACCAAGGCUUUGACGGGUAGCCGGCCUGAGAGGGUGACCGGCCACAUUGGGACUGAGAUACGGCCCAGACUCCUACGGGAGGCAGCAGUGGGGAAUAUUGCACAAUGGGCGGAAGCCUGAUGCAGCAACGCCGCGUGCGGGAUGACGGCCUUCGGGUUGUAAACCGCUUUCGCCUGUGACGAAGCGUGAGUGACGGUAAUGGGUAAAGAAGCACCGGCUAAGUACGUG